GCUCCUUAUUUAAUGUUGCGAAUGUCGGCGAAAUGU
rnacentral:sRNA from 1 species